CUGGAACCUUCCUGCGUCGUGGAUGGACUAGAGAGGGCCAACUUGGGUGUUUUGGACUCCAACUCCCACAAUUCCUAGCAGCCUACCAGCUGUUCUUGCAAUACAGUACUCGGUGCAAACUGUAUGGCCGGGUUUUAGCAGCAUUUUCUCCUGACGUUUCACCUUCAGCUGUGGCUGGCAUCUUCAGAGGAUCUCUACACUGGACUACCGCCGAUUUCUGGGCCUGAAUCUAUUGCACAAGAUUUCCCUAGCCUAAAAUGAUGCAUUUUAAUAUAUUGGUUUUAUGGUUCCCGUCCCCUUGAUCUGGUCAUGUAAGUGUGAUUUAUUGUUAUAAUUGUAUUAUUUCACUUUGUUUAAUAAUGUGUAUUAUGUUGUUAUGUAAUGUUUGUGUUGCUUUUAUGACUGUAAACCCAUCUGAGUCCCAUCCGGGAGAUAGGGCGGUAUAUAAAUAAAGUUUUAUUAUUAUUAUUAUUA